rnacentral:piRNA from 1 species
UAGAAACCUGUCUUCUGCAGCCACUCUUUU